GGCUAGUAUUGGAGAGAAACAAUGUAGAAGUGAUAAACCGAAUUUAUGAUUUCUACAGGUUCUAGUCUUCUGAGGAGGUGUCAGCUAAGCUGAAAUUGGAGAAAGUUUUAAUCAUAUAUGCAACAACAGGAGGGGAAUUACAGACAGAGAGCCUCUUGAAAACCCAACAGGGAUGUCGACAUGCUAAGGAAGUGGAAAGGAAGAGUUCUGUGUGCGCUGUGUCCUCAAGCACAGCCCUCUGCCAGCUUUUAUUAAGCACUGCCAAACUCUGGAGCGUGUCACUGGAGAGGACUGGCUUCCACCCCUGGGGACUUGAGGGUUUCGUAGGCUUGUGCCAUGAACUCUGUGACAUUCUUCAACUCAGGCAGGUACCUGCUCUCCUUUGUGCUUGUCACUCAGGGGGCUCACGGGUGCCACCAGGCUGAGAGACUGCACUCACAAGAACUCAGAUUCAGGCUUCGAGCCCCUUCCCGGGCUCUGUCACGUAUGACUGGUCCCCAGGACUGCUUCCAAGAUUCUCUGGCCGUGUUCUCUUCUGGGUCAGAAAGCUGCCUCUGAGAAUCGGGGCAGGGUUCACGGCCCAGUUCUUCCUCGAUGAAACGUGACUACCAGCUUCUGUAGUCUUGAACGUGCACUGGGGGUUUCCUGGUGUCAACGACUCGUCCCACUGCUGACAGGAAAAGAAGCCCAGGAAAGGAUGUGGUCAGCCCAGCUGGAGACGAGGUUGCCCAGAAAUGCCAGAUGCUCCUCUUCCAGGGCCUUCCAGCAGCCAGACCAUGGACUCCAGCCAGAGUCCGAGGGGGCCUGGAGCUGCAGCUGCUCAGAGGGGCCUGCAGGGCCCAAGGCCUGUUCCUCACAUCAUCAUGGAGAACCACCAGCCCAUGGCUUGGACUGGCAAGUGGACAGGCUGGAAAUCUGAAUCAGAGUUGAGUUUACAGUCUUGAGUCUGAAAUCUAUAGAGCAAUCUGGCAGGAUUGUAACUGGAACAAGAUUUCUAGGUUACAGUCUUUAA
rnacentral:lncRNA from 1 species